rnacentral:rRNA from 1 species
GGUUAAGCGACUAAGCGUACACGGUGGAUGCCCUGGCAGUCAGAGGCGAUGAAGGGCGUGCUAAUCUGCGAUAAGCGCCGGUAAGGUGAUAUGAACCGUUAUAACCGGCGAUACCCGAAUGGGGAAACCCAGUGUGAUUCGUCACACUAUCAUUAACUGAAUCCAUAGGUUAAUGAGGCGAACCGGGGGAACUGAAACAUCUAAGUACCCCGAGGAAAAGAAAUCAACCGAGAUUCCCCCAGUAGCGGCGAGCGAACGGGGAGGAGCCCAGAGCCUGAAUCAGCAUGUGUGUUAGUGGAAGCGUCUGGAAAGGCGCGCGAUACAGGGUGACAGCCCCGUACACAAAAGCGCAUGUGCUGUGAGCUCGAUGAGUAGGGCGGGACACGUGGUAUCCUGUCUGAAUAUGGGGGGACCAUCCUCCAAGGCUAAAUACUCCUGACUGACCGAUAGUGAACCAGUACCGUGAGGGAAAGGCGAAAAGAACCCCGGCGAGGGGAGUGAAAAAGAACCUGAAACCGUGUACGUACAAGCAGUGGGAGCACAGGUUUACCUGUGUGACUGCGUACCUUUUGUAUAAUGGGUCAGCGACUUAUAUUCUGUAGCAAGGUUAACCGUAUAGGGGAGCCGUAGGGAAACCGAGUCUUAACCGGGCGUUAAGUUGCAGGGUAUAGACCCGAAACCCGGUGAUCUAGCCAUGGGCAGGUUGAAGGUUGGGUAACACUAACUGGAGGACCGAACCGACUAAUGUUGAAAAAUUAGCGGAUGACCUGUGGCUGGGGGUGAAAGGCCAAUCAAACCGGGAGAUAGCUGGUUCUCCCCGAAAGCUAUUUAGGUAGCGCCUCGUGAAUUCAUCUCCGGGGGUAGAGCACUGUUUCGGCUAGGGGGCCAUCCCGGCUUACCAACCCGAUGCAAACUGCGAAUACCGGAGAAUGUUAUCACGGGAGACACACGGCGGGUGCUAACGUCCGUCGUGAAGAGGGAAACAACCCAGACCGCCAGCUAAGGUCCCAAAGUCAUGGUUAAGUGGGAAACGAUGUGGGAAGGCCCAGACAGCCAGGAUGUUGGCUUAGAAGCAGCCAUCAUUUAAAGAAAGCGUAAUAGCUCACUGGUCGAGUCGGCCUGCGCGGAAGAUGUAACGGGGCUAAACCAUGCACCGAAGCUGCGGCAGCGACACUAUGUGUUGUUGGGUAGGGGAGCGUUCUGUAAGCCUGUGAAGGUGUGUCGUGAGGCAUGCUGGAGGUAUCAGAAGUGCGAAUGCUGACAUAAGUAACGAUAAAGCGGGUGAAAAGCCCGCUCGCCGGAAGACCAAGGGUUCCUGUCCAACGUUAAUCGGGGCAGGGUGAGUCGACCCCUAAGGCGAGGCCGAAAGGCGUAGUCGAUGGGAAACGGGUUAAUAUUCCCGUACUUGGUGUUACUGCGAAGGGGGGACGGAGAAGGCUAUGUUGGCCGGGCGACGGUUGUCCCGGUUUAAGCGUGUAGGUGUGUGUUCCAGGUAAAUCCGGUUCACUUUAACACUGAGGCGUGAUGACGAGGCACUACGGUGCUGAAGCAACAAAUGCCCUGCUUCCAGGAAAAGCCUCUAAGCAUCAGGUAACAUCAAAUCGUACCCCAAACCGACACAGGUGGUCAGGUAGAGAAUACCAAGGCGCUUGAGAGAACUCGGGUGAAGGAACUAGGCAAAAUGGUGCCGUAACUUCGGGAGAAGGCACGCUGACACGUAGGUGAAGUGAUUUACUCAUGGAGCUGAAGUCAGUCGAAGAUACCAGCUGGCUGCAACUGUUUAUUAAAAACACAGCACUGUGCAAACACGAAAGUGGACGUAUACGGUGUGACGCCUGCCCGGUGCCGGAAGGUUAAUUGAUGGGGUCAGCGCAAGCGAAGCUCCUGAUCGAAGCCCCGGUAAACGGCGGCCGUAACUAUAACGGUCCUAAGGUAGCGAAAUUCCUUGUCGGGUAAGUUCCGACCUGCACGAAUGGCGUAAUGAUGGCCAGGCUGUCUCCACCCGAGACUCAGUGAAAUUGAACUCGCUGUGAAGAUGCAGUGUACCCGCGGCAAGACGGAAAGACCCCGUGAACCUUUACUAUAGCUUGACACUGAACAUUGAGCCUUGAUGUGUAGGAUAGGUGGGAGGCUUUGAAGUGUGGACGCCAGUCUGCAUGGAGCCGACCUUGAAAUACCACCCUUUAAUGUUUGAUGUUCUAACGUGGACCCGUAAUCCGGGUUGCGGACAGUGUCUGGUGGGUAGUUUGACUGGGGCGGUCUCCUCCUAAAGAGUAACGGAGGAGCACGAAGGUUGGCUAAUCCUGGUCGGACAUCAGGAGGUUAGUGCAAUGGCAUAAGCCAGCUUGACUGCGAGCGUGACGGCGCGAGCAGGUGCGAAAGCAGGUCAUAGUGAUCCGGUGGUUCUGAAUGGAAGGGCCAUCGCUCAACGGAUAAAAGGUACUCCGGGGAUAACAGGCUGAUACCGCCCAAGAGUUCAUAUCGACGGCGGUGUUUGGCACCUCGAUGUCGGCUCAUCACAUCCUGGGGCUGAAGUAGGUCCCAAGGGUAUGGCUGUUCGCCAUUUAAAGUGGUACGCGAGCUGGGUUUAGAACGUCGUGAGACAGUUCGGUCCCUAUCUGCCGUGGGCGCUGGAGAACUGAGGGGGGCUGCUCCUAGUACGAGAGGACCGGAGUGGACGCAUCACUGGUGUUCGGGUUGUCAUGCCAAUGGCACUGCCCGGUAGCUAAAUGCGGAAGAGAUAAGUGCUGAAAGCAUCUAAGCACGAAACUUGCCCCGAGAUGAGUUCUCCCUGAGACUUAGAGUCUCCUGAAGGAACGUUGAAGACGACGACGUUGAUAGGCCGGGUGUGUAAGCGCAGCGAUGCGUUGAGCUAACCGGUACUAAUGAACCGUGAGGCUUAACCUU